CCUACGGGAGGCAGCAGUGGGGAAUUUUGGACAAUGGGCGCAAGCCUGAUCCAGCAAUGCCGCGUGAGUGAAGAAGGCCUUCGGGUUGUAAAGCUCUUUUGUCAGGGAAGAAACGGUGGGGGCUAAUAUCCUUUGCUAAUGACGGUACCUGAAGAAUAAGCACCGGCUAACUACGUGCCAGCAGCCGCGGUAAUACGUAGGGUGCAAGCGUUAAUCGGAAUUACUGGGCGUAAAGCGUGCGCAGGCGGUUUUGUAAGUUUGUCGUGAAAUCCCCGGGCUCAACCUGGGAAUGGCGAUGAAGACUGCAAGGCUAGAAUCUGGCAGAGGGGGGGUAGAAUUCCACGUGUAGCAGUGAAAUGCGUAGAGAUGUGGAGGAACACCGAUGGCGAAGGCAGCCCCCUGGGUCAAGAUUGACGCUCAUGCACGAAAGCGUGGGGAGCAAACAGGAUUAGAUACCCUGGUAGUCCACGCCCUAAACGAUGUCUACUAGUUGUCGGGUUUUAAUUAACUUGGUAACGCAGCUAACGCGUGAAGUAGACCGCCUGGGGGAGGUACGGUCGCGAGAAUUAAACUACAANAGAGUAGACGGCGUGAGACGUGCCGACGGACGACGACCGAGGGAGGUUAGG
rnacentral:rRNA from 1 species